rnacentral:rRNA from 1 species
UACGGAGGAUGCGAGCGUUGUCCGGAUUUAUUGGGUUUAAAGGGUGCGUAGGCGGCCAAAUAAGUCGGGGGUGAAACCCACAGGCUUAACCUGUGGAGUGCCCUCGAUACUGUAUGGCUUGGGUUAUCUCUAGGCGGGCGGAAUGGAAGGUGUAGCGGUGAAAUGCAUAGAUAUCUACCAGAACGCCGAUAGCGAAGGCAGCUCGCUGGGGAUAUACCGACGCUGAGGCACGAUAGCGUGGGGAUCAAACAGG